UUUAUUUUUUAUUUCUAAAUCAAGGAGUGAAUGUAAACUUGUUUCAUUUGCUGGAUAAAAGUAUAUAGUAAACAACUUAGACCAAAUUAGGUAAAGAUAAUGAUAUGGAUUAUAGGGAAACUUUGUCUAAAAGUGCAAUUAAUCGUUGGAAAAAAAGUGCACAAAUAUCUCCUAAGGCCGAAACAAAAUUACCAUUCAUUAACUACUGAAAUGUGCAGCUAUAGAGGAUGCACCCCCUCGUGGCCAGAACUUCCUGGUUAGUGUAGGACAUCGUUCAGUCAAAUGCUUUAUUGCCUAAUAAAUAUUUAUAUAGCUUCUAAAUAUUGGGGACCCACUCAAAUGGCAUGGGGAGACGAUUUUGGGUCUUGAUCCAGGGCAUAACACUACUGCUUUAGCUAUAUAUUAUUCAAACAUCGUUUGUGUUUUGUUUGCAAUAUUUAAUUAGUUUGCUAGGCUAAUCUAAUAUGCACCAAGGGGGUUCCAGAGCCUGAAUCAGGAAGGCUGCUGCUGUAUUUUGUCAGAUUUUAUCCUAGGGAAAUGGACACAUUUGCACAAACACAGAUACAAACACUUCCAAAGAACGGUGACACCUACAUCUACACUUACACAUUCAUACAUAUGGCCAAACUCAAAAAUGUACACCAACACACAACCACACAGAUUAAUAUAUACAUAUACCUCAUUAUAUUGGGGGGUAUAAGAUAGUGGCUAGGUGGACGGACCUGAGAGUUGGCAUCGCCUGUUACUUGAUUUUCAUUACUGUUGUGGCCUGACCCCCAACCUACAGACCUUGCAGGGAGAGCUCUAUUCCAGGUCCUAGUGCCCGUGCACAGCGCAAGUUUGUCUAAUGGUGUGCUUGCGCUAUAAUACCUAAAAAACAUUCCAUGGUGUCCCUGGAUGUGGAACAUCAGGGUGGUGGAUCCAUAGGGG